rnacentral:lncRNA from 1 species
ACUUUGAAUUUCUGCACUGAUUUGAUAUAUCUUAGAAAUUCUCAAGUCUAGAGUCUUUAUUGCAUUGUAUUGUGAACACCACUGAUAGUAUAUCAAGUGUUCAAAGUCAAACAUUUUCUGUGUAUUUUUGUUUGAAUAGAAGCCUCUUGCCUGCGUGCUUGAGCAUUAGAAGACUCUUGCUUUAGUGCUUGAGCAUUGGAAG